rnacentral:lncRNA from 1 species
UGGAAAAUCAGGUUUACUUUUUCUUUUUCACUAUUUUUUUUUCUCAUGAAUCCUAACCUUGCUGGAUAGCAUGGAGUAAAGAAGCCAGCUCUAUCUAUACAAGCCCAACCUUUGGUCAGUAUCUUGUCAACAAGCAAACACUACUACUUUUGAUCUCCUAGGCUGUGUCAUGGGACACUAGUCACUCAUAUUUGGCUUGGAGCA